CGCCGGGACCGUCCCGGCCGGGCAGGAGCCCGCCCCGAGGGCGGCUUCCCCCGGGGAGCGGGGGUCGUCUCACGGUCGCCCGCGUUUAAAAGGAGGAAAAUGCGCCAGGGCUCCCGCGGGCAGGACGAAAAAGCAUCGCCGAUCCAAAAGCAUCUCAGCAGUGGAAGAGUUAAUUGGAUUCCAAGUCAGCUCUCCAUUAGCAGCACAGGACAGAUGCCAGGACCCAGAGGAGCUACUUGCUACAACAGUAAUGAGCGGUAGAAGGAAAUCGACAUUUUGGCAAGUUAUAUACUGCUCCCUUCCCAAAGAAGAAUGUUGCAGUAUUCCAGCCUGAGAGGCGUUUAUAAAUUUCUUCAGAGAAAAUGAACACCUUUCUUUUCCACAAUACUCUCAGCUGUGAAAUAGAGGCCACCAGACUGAGGUGGGAAUAUCGGGCAUAUCCGCAGGGAACGCCUUUGUUUCUGCAGUUUGUUCCUGGUGGCGUUUGGCUACGCCUGUCCUGCCCUGCCACUCCCGCCCAGAACAUGAGAAGUCAGUGUUAGCGGAAGACCAUCAGUGGUUUGCUGCCUCCCCCACUGGAUGGAAAGAACGAGGGGAUGCUGGAUUAAGAAUAUAUUGGCUGAAGUCUCCAUGAGCAAACCCACACGGAUGCUUUUGCUCUGCUUCCUCUUAAAGGGAGCAGGUUCAUGGAUGGUGUUAAGUUGCAAGUAACAUGUGGAGACACUGCCAAGUUUGUAAGAUAAACUGCGCAGUAAGGCCACUGGCACACACAUCUAAAGCCAAAUUAUUCCACCUUUUUCACAGUUUAUCCAUCAGCAGUCUCCCAGCCACACACGGAACAGUCAUUAUGAGAGGAAUGACAAGAUUUGUCUUUACAAACAAGCCCUGGGUCUGCUGGUAGAUAAAACUAGCACUGAGAGAUAAGAGAAACAAUGGGAAGGAUUCUAAUGAUUGAUAAACGGAAAAGAAGAUACUUGCCUUUACAAACAAACCAUAGGUUUGUUUGUAAAUGAAACUGAAUAUUGAAAGAUGAAAGCAACAAUGGGGAAAAACCCAUAAAUCCCAUAAAAAUUAAAAAUUAGGGGGUGUUAUACAUUAAAAGGGGAAUCUGAGGUCUUAGGCAUUUCGGGAAGUCUGUACCUCUCAAGUACCUCAGCCGAUGGGGAAAGAGAGAGGGAAAUGCAGCCGGGAAAUUAGGAUAAAAAGGAGGCUGCGUCCUCUGAAAAACUGAGAGACCCCAGGGGAAAUGCCCCAUGGCCUCUCCCUUUAUUCGAAUAAAGUAAAAAGACUCCUCUGUCUCCUUCUUGGACAUAAA